UAACCUGCCCAAGAGAUCGGGAUAACACCUGGAAACAGAUGCUAAUACCGGAUAANAACAGAUGAUGCCUAUCAACUGUUUAAAAGAUGGUUCUGCUAUCAUCUUGGAUGGACCUGCGGUGCAUUAGCUAGUUGGUAGGGUAACGGCCUACCAAGGCGAUGAUGCAUAGCCGAGUUGAGAGACUGAUCGGCCACAUUGGGACUGAGACACGGCCCAAACUCCUACGGGAGGCAGCAGC
rnacentral:rRNA from 1 species